rnacentral:rRNA from 1 species
UUUAUUGGAGAGUUUGAUCCUGGCUCAGGAUGAACGCUGGCGGCGUGCCUAAUACAUGCAAGUCGAGCGAAUGGAUUAAGAGCUUGCUCUUAUGAAGUUAGCAGC